GAUGAACGCUGGCGGCGUGCCUAAUACAUGCAAGUCGAGCGAACGGACGAGAAGCUUGCUUCUCUGAUGUUAGCGGCGGACGGGUGAGUAACACGUGGAUAACCUACCUAUAAGACUGGGAUAACUUCGGGAAACCGUAGCUAAUACCGGAUAAUAUUUUGAACCGCAUGGUUCAAAAGUGAAAGACGGUCUUGCUGUCACUUAUAGAUGGAUCCGCGCUGCAUUAGCUAGUUGGUAAGGUAACGGCUUACCAAGGCAACGAUGCAUAGCCGACCUGAGAGGGUGAUCGGCCACACUGGAACUGAGACACGGUCCAGACUCCUACGGGAGGCCGCAGUAGGGAAUCUUCCGCAAUGGGCGAAAGCCUGACGGAGCAACGCCGCGUGAGUGAUGAAGGUCUUCGGAUCGUAAAACUCUGUUAUUAGGGAAGAACAUAUGUGUAAGUAACUGUGCACAUCUUGACGGUACCUAAUCAGAAAGCCCCGGCUAACUACGUG
rnacentral:rRNA from 1 species